CUUGGUCAUUUAGAGGAAGUAAAAGUCGUAACAAGGUCUCCGUAGGUGAACCUGCGGAGGGAUCAUUAACGAAUGGCCGAUUGUGUGCCUUCGAACUUCAAAACUAGUGGAUGGAAGCCGUGGUUCGGCGGCAUUGCGCCCGUCGAAUUUAUGCAUGUAUGCUGUGGGCGUCGGAUUGAAAACAAAUGAAUGAAAACUUUCAACAAAGGAUCUCUUGGCUCUCGCAUCGAUGAAGAACGCAGCGAAGCGCGAAAUGUAGUGUGAAUCGCAGAACAUUGUGAAUCAUUGAAUCUUUGAACGCAUAUUGCGCCUCACUUAACGGUGAGGCAUGCCCGUCUGAGCGUCGUUUAAACCAAAUGGACCCCGAUCUGGGAUCCGUGCUGGGCCUCGUCCGUUUCAAGGACGUCGCCUCGAACCCAUUGGGCCCACCGGGCGGACGAGAUCCAUUCAGGACUGACCGUCCGUGGGCGCCGUAGUGCAUCGUGAACGAUUUGACCUCAGAUCGGGUAGGACCACCGCCUGAACUUAAGCAUAUCAAUAAGGCGAGGAACAGAAACCAACGGGGAUUCCCUCAGUAGUGGCGAAUGAAGCGGGAAAAGCUCAAGUUUGAAAUCCGUCGGGCGACCGUCGGAGUUGUAAGCUGAAGAGGCGUCGGCCGACACGGCCCGGGCUCAAUUUCCUUGGAACAGGAGGUCAUGGAGGGUGAGAACCCCGUCUGUGGCUCGAGCGCCGUUGUCCUUGUGCCAUGCCCUCGAAGAGUCGGGUUGUUUGGGAAUGCAGCUCAAAAUGGGUGGUAAAUUUCAUCUAAGGCUAAAUACUGGCGAGAGACCGAUAGGAAACAAGUAGAGUGAUCGAAAGAUGAAAAGUACUUUGAAAAGAGAGUGAAACAGUGCGUGAAAUUGUUGAAAGGGAAGCGUUUGGCAUCAGCCCGUGGCCGUCGUCGAUCAUCCGGGCUUCUGUCCGGUGCACUCGUCGACGGUCGGGCCAGCGUCGGCUCUGCCUGUCGGAGAAAGGUCUUGGGGACGUGCCCGCCCUCGGGCGGUGUUAUAACCCGGGACGUCAUGCGAUUGGUGGGGCCGUGGUCUGCGGUCUUGUACCUAGGACGCUGGCGUAAUGGUUCCAAGCGACCCGUCUUGAAACACGGACC
rnacentral:rRNA from 1 species